rnacentral:rRNA from 1 species
UACAGAGGUCUCAAGCGUUGUUCGGAUUCAUUGGGCGUAAAGGGUGCGUAGGCGGCGCGGUAAGUCGGGUGUGAAAUCUCGGAGCUUAACUCCGAAACUGCAUUCGAUACUGCCGUGCUUGAGGACUGGAGAGGAGACUGGAAUUUACGGUGUAGCGGUGAAAUGCGUAGAUAUCGUAAGGAAGACCAGUGGCGAAGGCGGGUCUCUGGACAGUUCCUGACACUGAGACACGAAGGCCCAGGGGGAGCAAAACGGGG